rnacentral:rRNA from 1 species
UACGAAGGGGGCUAGCGUUGCUCGGAAUCACUGGGCGUAAAGCGCACGUAGGCGGCUUCUUAAGUCAGGGGUGAAAUCCUGGAGCUCAACUCCAGAACUGCCUUUGAUACUGGGAGGCUCGAGUCCGGGAGAGGUGAGUGGAACUGCGAGUGUAGAGGUGAAAUUCGUAGAUAUUCGCAAGAACACCAGUGGCGAAGGCGGCUCACUGGCCCGGUACUGACGCUGAGGUGCGAAAGCGUGGGAGCAAACAGG